rnacentral:rRNA from 1 species
GAUGAACGCUGGCGGCGUGCCUAAUACAUGCAAGUCGAGCGAACAGAUGAGGAGCUUGCUCCUCUGACGUUAGCGGCGGACGGGUGAGUAACACGUGGAUAACCUACCUAUAAGACUGGGAUAACUUCGGGAAACCGGAGCUAAUACCGGAUAAUAUAUUGAACCGCAUGGUUCAAUAGUGAAAGACGGUUUUGCUGUCACUUAUAGAUGGAUCCGCGCCGCAUUAGCUAGUUGGUAAGGUAACGGCUUACCAAGGCGACGAUGCGUAGCCGACCUGAGAGGGGGAUCGGCCACACUGGAACUGAGACACGGUCCAGACUCCUACGGGAGGCAGCAGUAGGGAAUCUUCCGCAAUGGGCGAAAGCUUGACGGAGCAACGCCGCGUGAGUGAUGAAGGUCUUCGGAUCGUAAAACUCUGUUAUUAGGGAAGAACAAAUGUGUAAGUAACUAUGCACGUCUUGACGGUACCUAAUCAGAAAGCCACGGCUAACUACGUG